rnacentral:lncRNA from 12 species
CUGCGUGGUCUUCUUGGGCACUCCACUGUAUGAAGUGACUUUGUUUCUCUGUUUGCUUUUCAGAUGCUGGUCUCCCUUCUAGGAUGUCACUGCUCGGAACAAGUGGGGUCUGCUUUGCCCACAGGCUGGCCCAGGGCUCAGCUUAGAGCAGGUGCAGGCAGAUGACCUGGGACCAGGCUAGUCUGUGCCUGGGGACAUGCUUAGAACCGGCCGUGUCAUCAACUGCUCAGGAGUGGCCCCGGCGUCCAGCUCGCUGCCAAUCUCCCCUGGCCUUCCGCCACUUUCAGGGAGGAGAGAGGAAGAUGAACAGUCUAACAGCAUGCUGUGUGACUUGCAGGCCAAGUUGUUUGGAGGGCAGCCUCUUUCCCCCAAGCCUGGCCACCAGGGCUGGUCACACCUGGGGCAUGUGUGCAGUGAGGAGGUAUGUGGGCCCUGGGGGCCUGGCAAGGACCCUUCUGCACCUGCUGCCCUCCCAUCCUGCCCUGGACCUGAGCCCCUCUCCUUCCAGCCACUGGUGGGUGCUGCAGAUGGGUGCUGGGGCGUCUCCUGUGUGAGUCUGGGGGACCCUCUGUCUGGAAGCAUCUGCUGGCUACUCCAGCGACAGUUGAACAGCGCUCCGGAACGGGGCUACUCUGUAUCUCUAUCCCGUGAAAUGGCUAAUGGUGAUAAGGAGAGGAAAAACAAAGCGGUCCUCGGGCCUCACGAUGCCCCCGCCCACCCGGCUCCUUAG